AACUGGGAGGAGCUGCCAGCUAGUUGGAGAGCUUCAGAGGCCUUUAAAAGUCCAGCAGGGCUCUCUCUGUGGUGCGAACUGUCCCUCAUGCUUGCAUGCAGCCUUCUGUCCCUUCCACCGGCACCAUGCUCCGCAAGGCCUUGGUCCUCCUUUUUCUGUUGUGUGCCCUGGCUGUGGCCGCCCCCAUACUACAAUCAAUAUCAACCAAUGUUCUCAACGUAACUGUGGCAGCAGCCAUGGACCAAAAUUUCACCACUGGCGCACUGAAGACCACCAACCUGGGGACAACCACAGCCAGGUACCUGCGGAUCUCACCAGCCUUGGAAUAUGAUGGAAAUUCUCCAUGACCUGUGACAAUCAUCACUUUCUAAGAUUCUGGAGAAGCCCACACCCACUAUGCUACAUGAAAGAGCCUAAUCAUAGAAAACUGGUGAAAAAUGCGCUGUGCCCAGCAGAGGAGAAACAACAGGGAAACCAUCCUGGCUAGGUGGAUGGAGCUCCCAUCCUCUCUCAGAUGAGAGGCAUUUCUCUGCUUUGC
rnacentral:lncRNA from 1 species